rnacentral:rRNA from 1 species
UACGUAGGGUGCGAGCGUUGUCCGGAAUUAUUGGGCGUAAAGGGCUCGUAGGCGGUCUGUCACGUCGGGAGUGAAAACUCAGGGCUUAACCCUGAGCCUGCUUCCGAUACGGGCAGACUAGAGGUAUGCAGGGGAGAACGGAAUUCCUGGUGUAGCGGUGAAAUGCGCAGAUAUCAGGAGGAACACCGGUGGCGAAGGCGGUUCUCUGGGCAUUACCUGACGCUGAGGUGCGAAAGCGUGGGGAGCAAACAGG